rnacentral:tRNA from 1 species
AUUGCUGUAGCUCAGUGGUUAGAGCAUCUGAUUAAGAUUCAGACUGUCGUCGGUUCGACUCCGGCUAGCAAAC